rnacentral:rRNA from 1 species
UACGUAGGUCCCGAGCGUUGUCCGGAUUUAUCGGGCGUAAAGCGAGCGCAGGUGGUUUAUUAAGUCUGGUGUAAAAGGCAGUGGCUCAACCAUUGUAUGCACUGGAAACUGGUAGACUUGAGUGCAGGAGAGGAGAGUGGAAUUCCAUGUGUAGCGGUGAAAUGCGUAGAUAUAUGGAGGAACACCGGUGGCGAAAGCGGCUCUCUGGCCUGUAACUGACACUGAGGCUCGAAAGCGUGGGGAGCAAACAGG